rnacentral:rRNA from 1 species
UAAGGAAUAUUGGGCAAUGGACGCAAGUCUGACCCAGCCAUGCCGCGUGGAGGAUGAAGGUCCUCUGGAUUGUAAACUUCUUUUAUAUGGGACGAAAAAGGGUCUUUCUAGAUCAACUGACGGUACCAUGUGAAUAAGCACCGGCUAACUCCGUGCCAGCAGCCGCGGUAAUACGGAGGGUGCAAGCGUUAUCCGGAUUCACUGGGUUUAAAGGGUGCGUAGGUGGGGUGGUAAGUCAGUGGUGAAAUCUCCAGGCUUAACUUGGAAACUGCCAUUGAUACUAUCAUUCUUGAAUACCGUGGAGAUGAGCGGAAUAUGUCAUGUAGCGGUGAAAUGCUUAGAUAUGACAUAGAACACCAAUUGCGAAGGCAGCUCGUUACACGAAUAUUGACACUCAGGCACGAAAGCGUGGGGAUCAAA